GUGCUCACUUUGGCAGCACAUAUACUAAAAUUGGAACAAUACAGAGAAGAUAAACAUGGCCACUGAGCAGGGAUGACACCCAAAUUCAUGAAGAGUCUUCAAGUAAA